CUUCAUGUUUCUCUCUCCUUCUCCGCUGCUCCUCUCUCCCUCUCUCACCGCCGCUCUACCAGCCGCACCUCCUUGCCAUCGCGGCCAACCGGAGCACCGAUUCACCUAGAUUUGUCCUAUUUUCUCUCUCCAAACUCCAUAGCCAAUCAUGAAAUUCAGAUCUACACGACACUACCCAUUUCAAAUCUUCCAUUGAAUUGAGCUUCAAUGGCGAAUCUAGUGGUUCUGGUGGUGGUGAUUUUGGGUCUAAUCAAUGGUGGGUAUUACCAAGAAACGACCCAAGAAGCUCCAUGGAUGAUCCACACGUUGUUCUGUGGAGUGCCACAACUACUUGUUCAGGAUUGAAAAGGAAUGGGAAAAGUUGUAGAUUGAGGUGGGUGAACAGGGGAAGAUCCCGGACAUUAAGAAGUGCUUGGAUGUAACACUUGUUACUUAGGAACUGAUGUUGUCCAAAAACUAUGUAUUUAUUUGUGCUAUCUUUUGUUAGCAACUGUUUGUGAUCUGUGUUACCGAUCUAUAUUAAUUUAUGUAUGUACCUUUCAGCUUUGCUUCAGUAAUUGCUUUGAGAGUUGGACUGCAGCUGGCUUCAUCACUAGUUUUUUAAUUUAAUUUUAUUUUAUAGCAUUUACUUUUUUAUAUUUUUGGUGUUUUUGUUAGUUGGUUUCUUGCCAAAUUAACAAUUGGAUAUUAAUUUUGUUUAAUCCUUUGUUAUGUAUGGAAUUAUAUUUUUGAGAUUGGAUUAUACUUGAUUUGUAUGGAAUUUUUUUUGAAAAUAUUAAUUUGAUG